rnacentral:rRNA from 1 species
ACUUGUUCUUUAAAUGAGGACUAGAAUGAACGGCACAACGAGAGUUACACUGUCUCCUUUUUUCAAUCAGUUAAACUAAUCUCCCCGUGAAGAAGCGGGGAUUUACCUAUAAGACGAGAAGACCCUAUGGAGCUUUAAAUUUUGUUACAACUGCUAUUCUAUUUUACAGUCCUAGACCUAUCACAUAACUACUAGCACCAUGAUAAUAAAUUUUAGGUUGGGGUGACCGCGGAGUAUAAUAUAACCUCCACAUUGACACAGGCCUAACGCCUUGAACCAAGAGCCACAACUCUAAGAAAUAAUACAUUAACAUUUAUUGACCCAAUACUACUUGAUCAACGGACCAAGUUACCCUAGGGAUAACAGCGCAAUCCACUUUAAGAGCCCCUAUCGACAAGUGG